rnacentral:rRNA from 1 species
CCUACGGGAGGCAGCAGUGGGGAAUAUUGCACAAUGGGGGAAACCCUGAUGCAGCGACGCCGCGUGAGUGAAGAAGUAAUUCGUUAUGUAAAGCUCUAUCAGCAGGGAAGAAAAUGACGGUACCUGAGUAAGAAGCCCCGGCUAACUACGUGCCAGCAGCCGCGGUAAUACGUAGGGGGCAAGCGUUAUCCGGAUUUACUGGGUGUAAAGGGAGCGUAGACGGCAGUGCAAGUCUGGAGUGAAAGGCGGGGGCUCAACCCCCGGACUGCUCUGGAAACUGUACGGCUGGAGUGCAGGAGAGGUAAGUGGAAUUCCUAGUGGAGCGGUGAAAUGCGGAGAUAUUAGGAGGAACACCAGUGGCGAAGGCGGCUUACUGGACUGUAACUGACGUUGAGGCUCGAAAGCGUGGGGAGCAAACAGGAUUAGAUACCCCAGUAGUC